UACGUAGGGUGCGAGCGUUGUCCGGAAUUAUUGGGCGUAAAGAGCGUGUAGGCGGCCAGGUAGGUCUGCUGUGAAAACUCGAGGCUUAACCUCGAGCUGUCGGCGGAAACCAUCUGGCUAGAGUCCGGAAGAGGAGAAUGGAAUUCCCGGUGUAGCGGUGAAAUGCGCAGAUAUCGGGAAGAACACCCGUGGCGAAGGCGGUUCUCUGGGACGGUACUGACGCUGAGACGCGAAAGCGUGGGGAGCGAACAGG
rnacentral:rRNA from 1 species